rnacentral:rRNA from 1 species
GAUGAACGCUGGCGGCGUGCCUAAUACAUGCAAGUCGAGCGAACGGACGAGAAGCUUGCUUUUCUGAUGUUAGCGGCGGACGGGUGAGUAACACGUGGAUAACCUACCUAUAAGACUGGGAUAACUUCGUGAAACCGGAGCUAAUACCGGAUAAUAUUUUGAACCGCAUGGUUCAAAAGUGAAAGACGGUCUUGCUUUCACUUAUAGAUGGAUCCGCGCUGCAUUAGCUAGUUGGUAAGGUAACGGCUUACCAAGGCAACGAUGCAUAGCCGACCUGAGAGGGUGAUCGGCCACACUGGAACUGAGACACGGUCCAGACUCCUACGGGAGGCAGCAGUAGGGAAUCUUCCGCAAUGGGCGAAAGCCUGACGGAGCAACGCCGCGUGAGUGAUGAAGGUCUUCGGAUCGUAAAACUCUGUUAUUAGGGAAGAACAUAUGUGUAAGUAACUGUGCACAUCUUGACGGUACCUAAUCAGAAAGCCACGGCUAACUACGUG